ACCAUAUACCAACCCUGAACAUGUGUGAUCUAAUCUGAUUUCAGAAGCUCAACAGGGUCAGGCUUAGCUAGUACUUUUGGGAGAACUGAUGGCAAAACAGCCUAGGUU
rnacentral:rRNA from 1 species